rnacentral:rRNA from 1 species
UACGUAGGGCGCAAGCGUUGUCCGGAAUUAUUGGGCGUAAAGAGCUCGUAGGCGGUCUGUCGCGUCUGCCGUGAAAACCCGGGGCUUAACCUUGGGCUUGCGGUGGAUACGGGCGGACUUGAGGUAGGUAGGGGAGAAUGGAAUUCCCGGUGUAGCGGUGAAAUGCGCAGAUAUCGGGAGGAACACCGGUGGCGAAGGCGGUUCUCUGGGCCUUACCUGACGCUGAGGAGCGAAAGCGUGGGGAGCGAACAGG